rnacentral:rRNA from 1 species
CGUGUCCUACGGGGCGCAGCAGUGGGGGAUAUUGGACAAUGGGGGAAACCCUGAUCCAGCGAUGCCGCGUGAGGGAAGAAGGUUUUCGGAUUGUAAACCUCUGUGGAGGGGGACGAUAAUGACGGUACCCCUUUAGGAAGCCACGGCUAACUACGUGCCAGCAGCCGCGGUAAUACGUAGGUGGCGAGCGUUGUCCGGAAUUACUGGGUGUAAAGGGAGUGUAGGCGGGAAAGCAAGUCAGAAGGGAAAACUGUGGGCUUAACCCCUAGCCUGCUUUUGAAACUGUUUUUCUU